UCACCAGGUUGAUUCUGCCUGACGUAGACGCUAUUCCCUAAGAUUAACCCAUGCAUGUUUUUGAAGAUUAUUAUCUGAAAAAUGGACUGCUCAGUAAUACUCACUUUAUUUUAUGUGCACCGCAGAUAACUACGUUAAAGUGUAGAUAACAUGUGUACAGUAAGAGUGAGACCUAUCAGCUAGUUGUUAGGGUAAUGGCUUAACAAGGCAGUGACGGGUAACGGUAUUACUUUGUAAUAUUCCGGAGAAGGAGCCUGAGAGACGGCUACUAAGUCUAAGGAUUGCAGCAGGGGCGAAACUUGACCUAUGGAUUUUAUCUGAGGCAGUUAUGGGAAGUAAUAUAUUAUUGUUUCAUAUUUUAAAAAUAUAUGAGGUGAUUAAUUGGAGGGCAAAUCAAGUGCCAGCAGCCGCGGUAAUACUUGUUCCAAGAGUGUGUAUGAUGAUUGAUGCAGUUAAAAAGUCCGUAGUUUAUUUUUAAGAAGCAAAUAUGA
rnacentral:rRNA from 1 species